rnacentral:rRNA from 1 species
GAAAGUAAGCAAGGGCAGACGGUGGAUGCCUUGGCUCUCGGAGGCGACGAAGGACGUGAUAAGCUGCGAAAAGCCCGGGGGAGGCGCAAAUAGCCGUUGAUCCCGGGAUAUCCGAAUGGGGCAACCCGGCAGGCUGAAGGCCUGCCAUCCCGUAAGGGAGGCGAACGUGGGGAACUGAAACAUCUAAGUACCCAUAGGAGGAGAAAAUAAACAAUGAUUCCGUAAGUAGUGGCGAGCGAACACGGAAGAGCCCAAACCCAUGUCGUCUAGGCGACACGGGGGUUGUAGGACCACGACGUGGCAAGAGGAUGGCAAGUGGAACGCCUUGGAAAGGGCGACCGUAGAGGGUGAUAGUCCCGUACACGACUGCCUGCCGAAGCCUAGUGGCAUCCUGAGUAGCGCGGGGCACGAGAAAUCUUGCGUGAAACAGCGGGGCCCAUCCCGUAAGGCUAAAUACUCCCGAGAGACCGAUAGCGAACCAGUACCGUGAGGGAAAGGUGAAAAGAACCCCGAGCAGGGGAGUGAAAUAGACCCUGAACCCGUCUGCCUACAAGCGGUCGGAGCAUAGCAAUAUGUGACGGCGUGCCUUUUGCAUAAUGAACCUACGAGUUACCUUCCCCGGCAAGGUUAAGUACCUAAGGUACGGAGCCGAAGCGAAAGCGAGUCUGAAGAGGGCGGCCAGUCGGGGGGGGUAGACGCGAAACCGAGUGAUCUACCCUUGGCCAGGUUGAAGGUUGGGUAACACCAACUGGAGGACCGGAUGGGUAAGCGUUGAAAAGCUUUCCAAUGAGCUGAGGGUAGGGGUGAAAGGCUAAUCAAACUCGGAGAUAGCUCGUACUCCCCGAAAUGCAUUUAGGUGCAGCCUCUUUAUAGUAUAUCGUGAGGUAGAGCGACUGAUUGGAUGCGAGGGCUUCACCGCCUAUCAAGUCCAGAUAAACUCCGAAUGCGCGAUAUAUAUUUACAGGGAGUGAGGGCGCGGGUGCUAAGGUCCGUGUCCGAGAGGAGAAGAAUCCAGACCACCGGCUAAGGCCCCCAAAUGAUCGUUGAGUUGAACUAACGAGGUCGGAUCGCAGAGACAGCUAGGAUGUUGGCUUGGAAGCAGCCAUUCAUUUAAAGAGUGCGUAACAGCUCACUAGUCGAGCGAUCUGGCGUGGAUAAUAAUCGGGCAUAAACGAUCUGCCGAAGCCGUGGAUGUCGUAAGACAUGGUAGGGGAGCAUUCCAUGCGGCGUCGAAGAUGAGGGAUGACCCUUGUUGGAGCGCAUGGAAAAGCAAAUGUAGGUAUGAGUAACGAUAAGGGGGGCGAGAAACCCCCCCGCCGAAAGACCAAGGUUUCCUGAUCAACGCUAAUCGGAUCAGGGUGAGUCGGGACCUAAGGCAAAGCCGAACGGCGCCGCCGAUGGAAGAAUGGGUUAAUAUUCCCAUACUGCCUCAUGGAGUGACGUGGAGACGGAGAAGUGACAGUCCUGCCGGCUGACGGAAUAGCCGGUUGAAGGGUGUAGAUAUUGAUUCCCGUAGGCAAAUCCGCGGGGAGAGUCGAACCUGACAGUAUACCGAGUACUUGUACGAGGUAAUAUGGACGUAACCAUGCUCCCAAGAAAAUCCGCUAAACUUAUCCAUGCGGCACCCGUACCGUAAACGGACACACGUGGUCGGGUUGAGAAUACUGAGGCGCUCGAGUGACUCACGGUUAAGGAACUAGGCAAAUUGACCCUGUAACUUCGGGAUAAAGGGUCCUCGUCGUAAGGCGAGGCGCAGAGAAUAGGUCCAGGCAACUGUUUAACAAAAACACAUGGCUAUGCUAAAUGGAAACAUGACGUAUAUAGCCUGACACCUGCCCGGUGCUGGAAGGUUAAGAGGAGAUGUCAUCGCAAGAGAAGCGUUGAAUUGAAGCCCCAGUAAACGGCGGCCGUAACUAUAACGGUCCUAAGGUAGCGAAAUUCCUUGUCGGGUAAGUUC